AAGGUUUUACCUGCCCAAUGAUGAAAUUUAAAUGGCCGCAGUACUUUGACUGUGCUAAGGUAGCAUAAUAAAUUGACUUUUAAUUAAGGUCUAGAAUGAAAGGGUAAAUGGGCAAAUACUGUCUCUUAAAAAUUAGUAUUAAUUUUCUUAAAAGGUGAAAAUUCCUUUAAUUUAAUUAAAAAGACGAGAAGACCCUAGGAGUUUAAAUAUCAUUUUGUUGGGGCAACAUUAUAGCAAAUAACCUAUAAUAAAACAUUAAAUAUAACGAAGUAUUUAAAUUUUAAAUAAGCUACCCUAGGGAUAACAGCAUAAUUUGUUGAAAAAUAAGUUUGUGACCUCGAUGUUGGACUAGGGACUUUAAAUAUUAAAUAUAUUUAUUGA
rnacentral:rRNA from 1 species